rnacentral:rRNA from 1 species
UACGUAGGGUGCGAGCGUUAAUCGGAAUUACUGGGCGUAAAGCGUGCGCAGGCGGUUUUGUAAGCCAGAUGUGAAAUCCCCGGGCUUUAACCUGGGAAUGGCAUUUGGGACUGCAAGGCUCGAGUGCGGCAGAGGAGACUGGAAUUCCUGGUGUAGCAGUGAAAUGCGUAGAUAUCAGGAGGAACACCGAUGGCGAAGGCAGGUCUCUGGGCUGACACUGACGCUCAUGCACGAAAGCGUGGGGAGCAAACAGG